CUGAAUAAGCGGGCCUUGAUCCCGCAAAAACUAGUUAACAGCUAACUACCCUAACCAGCGGGCUUCUAUUCG
rnacentral:tRNA from 1 species